UACGAAGGGGGCUAGCGUUGCUCGGAAUCACUGGGCGUAAAGCGCACGUAGGCGGAUUGUUAAGUCAGGGGUGAAAUCCUGGAGCUCAACUCCAGAACUGCCUUUGAUACUGGCGAUCUUGAGUCCGGGAGAGGUGAGUGGAACUGCGAGUGUAGAGGUGAAAUUCGUAGAUAUUCGCAAGAACACCAGUGGCGAAGGCGGCUCACUGGCCCGGUACUGACGCUGAGGUGCGAAAGCGUGGGGAGCAACAGG
rnacentral:rRNA from 1 species